UACGAAGGGGGCUAGCGUUGCUCGGAAUGACUGGGCGUAAAGGGCGCGUAGGCGGUUUGUACAGUCAGGUGUGAAAUUCCCGGGCUCAACCUGGGGGCUGCACUUGAUACGUAUGGACUGGAGUGGGGAAGAGGGUCGUGGAAUUCCCAGUGUAGAGGUGAAAUUCGUAGAUAUUGGGAAGAACACCGGUGGCGAAGGCGGCGACCUGGUCCUUGACUGACGCUGAGGCGCGGAAGCGUGGGGAGCAAACAGG
rnacentral:rRNA from 1 species